rnacentral:misc_RNA from 1 species
AAAGAUGAUGAUGUUUGAUGAGAUAGGAUUUUGUGGUGACGUGGAUUUCUUCUCUGUUGUGGCUAGUCCACAAAUUGAGCCAGAGCCUACUGUGGAGGAUGAUUACAAUGAUGAGGAAACUGUUUCUUUUGAGAGAUGGACACAAUAGUAAUUUUAUUUUUUUUAACCGCUAAACCAGCUAUUGCAAGUAAGCUUGACUUUUCUUGAAAUAAAACUUAAGUUGAGUGAUUUUAUUUUAAGAAACUGAAUUUUAGAGAUGAAAAUGAAAAGACCUCCUAAGUUGAGGGACGGUUGGUAUAAUUAAACCCCUUUCUUGUUUUAUUAUAUAAAGAGGCCCAAAGAUUGUGUUCCAAUAUUUUGUAAUGAAUCCUUAUUUUGAUUGGAAUCACCAUGAACAGAUUUCCAUAUUGAUCUAUGGAGCUCUAACAGUCUCUCAUUUUAUGGCCUUGAAACCCAUAAUAUGCUAUCCUAAGAGCCUUAAAUAACCUAAUGACAAAUCAAAUCACAGGUCAUUACUUGCAAAAGCCCGUAACCACUUUUUUCUGUAAUUUCUUCUAUAUUUUAUAGCUAAAUAUUUUCAAUAUUACGAAAUUAGUUUCAAAUUUCAAUUCAAUUUGUACCAAUUUUAUUUCUGUUUUUAUUCAAUUACAUUGCAUUUGUCUCUAAUCACUAAGAUCUUAACAAAUUCACACUCAAAUUAAAUCUAACAAAAAAUCUUGUUAAAAAAAAGCACAAAUUAAUUUGUAAUUCAGAUGAUAAGCAAGAAAAAGAGUUGUUUUCGACAUACCCUGAAACGAAAACACCAG